GUGCCAGCCGCCGCGGUAAUACGGAGGGUGCAAACGUUGCUCGGAAUUAUUGGGCGUAAAGCGUACGUAGGCGGUCCAGCAAGUCGGGUGUGAAAGCCCUCGGCUUAACCGAGGAAGUGCAUUCGAAACUACAGGACUUGAAUACUGGAGAGGAUUGCGGAAUUCCCGGUGUAGAGGUGAAAUUCGUAGAUAUCGGGAGGAACACCAGUGGCGAAGGCGGCAAUCUGGACAGAUAUUGACGCUGAUGUACGAAAGCGUGGGGAGCAAACAGGAUUAGAUACCCGCGUAGUCC
rnacentral:rRNA from 1 species